rnacentral:rRNA from 1 species
AACGUGGGCAACCUGCCCUGUAGACGGGGAUAACACCGAGAAAUCGGUGCUAAUACCGGAUAACACGAAAUGUCGCAUGACGUUUCGUUGAAAGACGGCGCAAGCUGUCGCUACAGGAUGGGCCCGCGGCGCAUUAGCUAGUUGGUGAGGUAACGGCUCACCAAGGCGACGAUGCGUAGCCGACCUGAGAGGGUGAUCGGCCACACUGGGACUGAGACACGGCCCAG